GCGUUCUUAGCUCAGUGGUUAGAGCAUCACCUUGACAUGGUGGGGGUCGAUGGUUCAAAUCCAUUAGAACGCAUCA
rnacentral:tRNA from 1 species